rnacentral:tRNA from 1 species
UCCCCGAUGGUCUAGUGGUUAAGACUCAGUAUUUUCACUGUUGUGGCCCAGGUUCUAUCCCCGGCCUGGGAA